UGCACCCUGGGCCUGUGCGCUCCUC
rnacentral:piRNA from 1 species